UUUGUGCUGGAUUCCAUUACCUUCAGGAAGGCUCCUAAUAUGCUUUACUGUGACAUUUCUUCCUUUCAGCCAGUGGAAAUUUAUGUUGAUAACGAGGCGAAAUUGACCCUUCAUGGUCUUGUACAGGUUUUCCCCUUUUCUGACAUCUGCGGUCGUUAGUUCUUCCUUAACUUCAUCUCUGUUAAGAUGCUGAGCAUUUUUUACUUCCAUCCGGUCAGGCUGAGGAUCUCCUUCACCGUUUUUUGAUUUUCUUAGUGCUCCAUCCAAGGUAAUAUUAUCGCCAGAUGCAGAUCCACCAGUUGUCAGAAUAAUGGAUUGCAAGUACGACAUGCACUCACAAACAUUCUUCGGCUUUCUUUUUUUAAUGGUGGAUGCACUUUGAUGCUUCGAUAAAAU